AUGGCCUAUAAUGUUUUUAGUCACCCUUUCUUUCGAUUUUGCAACCCUCCGAUCUUCGAAGACUGGUCGGGAUCAACGGGUCUUAUGGACUGGCUUGAAUCCCAUUCUGCACACAUCUUCAAAUUCAACGUUCCAGGUUUGGCCAAAGAAGAUAUAAAAGUUGAGAUAGAAGAUGGAAACAUUUUGCACAUAAGAGGAGAAGGAGUAAAAGAGGAAUCAAACUCAAAGGACAGCGUUUUGCAUGUAGCAGAGAGAGGGACAGGAAAACGAGCGUUUUCUCGAAAAGUUGAAUUGCCAGAAAAUGUGAAAUUUGAUCAGAUUAAAGCUCAAGUGGAAAAUGGUCUUCUCACCAUAAUUGUUCCCAAGGAUACAACUCCAAAGCCUUCUAAAGUGAGAAGCAUCAACAUUACUAGCAAGCUCUGAGUAGAUAUUCGUCGUUUCUCUAGUACGGAUAUCUUCUUGUAAUAUUACAAGUGUCCUAUAAUAAUAAUAAUUUAUUAAAUAAUAAUAAGGUAGGAAUUUUCUACUAUAAGGUGUUGAAAAAGACAUUAUGGGGGUGUUUGUAAGCUAAUUGUUGUGUUAAAAAUCACUCUUUUUAAAUAAAAAUCAUCACUUUAUUAA